UACGUAGGGUGCGAGCGUUAAUCGGAAUUACUGGGCGUAAAGCGUGCGCAGGCGGUUGUGCAAGACAGAUGUGAAAUCCCCGGGCUUAACCUGGGAAUGGCAUUUGUGACUGCACGGCUAGAGUGUGUCAGAGGGGGGUAGAAUUCCACGUGUAGCAGUGAAAUGCGUAGAUAUGUGGAGGAAUACCGAUGGCGAAGGCAGCCCCCUGGGAUAACACUGACGCUCAUGCACGAAAGCGUGUGGAGCAAACAGG
rnacentral:rRNA from 1 species